GAUGAACGCUGGCGGCGUGCCUAAUACAUGCAAGUCGAGCGAAUGGAUUAAGAGCUUGCUCUUAUGAAGUUAGCGGCGGACGGGUGAGUAACACGUGGGUAACCUGCCCAUAAGACUGGGAUAACUCCGGGAAACCGGGGCUAAUACCGGAUAAUAUUUUGAACUGCAUGGUUCAAAAUUGAAAGGCGGCUUCGGCUGUCACUUAUGGAUGGACCCGCGUCGCAUUAGCUAGUUGGUGAGGUAACGGCUCACCAAGGCAACGAUGCGUAGCCGAACUGAGAGUGUGAUCGGCCACACUGGGACUGAGACACGGCCCAGACUCCUACGGGAGGCAGCAGUAGGGAAUCUUCCGCAAUGGACGAAAGUCUGACGGAGCAACGCCGCGUGAGUGAUGAAGGCUUUCGGGUCGUAAAACUCUGUUGUUAGGGAAGAACAAGUGCUAGUUGAAUAAGCUGGCACCUUGACGGUACCUAACCAGAAAGCCACGGCUAACUACGUGCCAGCAGCCGCAGUAA
rnacentral:rRNA from 1 species